CUACCAACAAGGGCUACUCCUGGAAUAGAUUUCAUCUGCAGGCCCCACACAGAGAUGUUUUGUGCUGGAUAAACCACACUGCUUCUGGGGAGUGCUGCUGUCACAGAAGACCUUGCAUAGUCAGGGUGAGCUGGAGAGCUCAUGGUACCAGCCAAUAAGAGACAUUCCCAUUAAAAAAAGGUUUAUCUGAACAGAAUUCAGAGACUCAAUCUACUGGUUCCUUAUCCCACAGUGGUGGGAAAAAGGAGACGUCAAAUUUGCUCAUUCAGUGCUUCUGGUGCUUCUGCAUAAAUAUAUUUUCCUAUAAUAUUUUUACUAUAAUGCCCAAGGGAGAAGUGCUGGCAGAAUCCAAAUUUUUAGAUGUUUAUUAUCCCUUGCACAUGUAUUUUCCAUUAACAUCAGUGGAAUUAAACAUAUACAUAGGGAAAAGAAAAUAAACAGUUAAUGACCUAACAGAGAAAGGGCCCCCAGAAAACAAGUCAGCU
ensembl:lncRNA